rnacentral:rRNA from 1 species
UUGGGAAUCUUCCGCAAUGGGCGAAAGCCUGACGGAGCAACGCCGCGUGAGUGAUGAAGGUCUUCGGAUCGUAAAACUCUGUUAUUAGGGAAGAACAAAUGUGUAAGUAACUAUGCACGUCUUGACGGUACCUAAUCAGAAAGCCACGGCUAACUACGUGCCAGCAGCCGCGGUAAUACGUAGGUGGCAAGCGUUAUCCGGAAUUAUUGGGCGUAAAGCGCGCGUAGGCGGUUUUUUAAGUCUGAUGUGAAAGCCCACGGCUCAACCGUGGAGGGUCAUUGGAAACUGGAAAACUUGAGUGCAGAAGAGGAAAGUGGAAUUCCAUGUGUAGCGGUGAAAUGCGCAGAGAUAUGGAGGAACACCAGUGGCGAAGGCGACUUUCUGGUCUGUAACUGACGCUGAUGUGCGAAAGCGUGGGGAUCAAAC